rnacentral:rRNA from 1 species
AGAGUCGUGAACUGCGUGGUGGUAAGCGGAGGCAUCCUCGAAGUAGGUUCCGGAGGUUCAGGCUGAUGGCGGGGUGACGGUUUGGUUCUUGAUCCGCGAGGACUUGGCCGGGAGAUUGGCUCUGUCGGCGGCAGCAUUUCUCCGGGCCGUGCGUCGCGGUCCGCUGGGACUGGACCGAGGAAGGGGGUGAAGUUCAGGCCUUGCGCUCGAGCCCCCCUCUCCUGGCUCUGGACCCGGCGGGAAAACGCCUGUCGUCCCAUGUGGCCGGCGGGAUCUGCGGCGAGUAGGUCGGCGUUGCCUCCGACCCGUCUUGAAACACGGACCAAGGAGUCUAACACGCGUGCGAGCCAUGGGGUGCACUAAACCCAAAGGCGCAGUGAAAGCAAAGGGCACUCGGUGUCUUAGGGGCGAUCCCGCAAGGGCGCAGCCCCGGCACUUCGCAUCGACCUCGCUUCGUGCGGAGUAGCAAGAGCAGGCGUGUUGGGACCCGAAAGAUGGUGAACUAUGCCUGGCCAGGUCGAAGCCAGGGGAAACCCUGGUGGAGGACCGUAGCGAUUCUGACGUGCAAAUCGAUCGUCGGAGCUGGGUAUAGGGGCGAAAGACUAAUCGAACCGUCUAGUAGCUGGUUCCUUCCGAAGUUUCCCUCAGGAUA